UGUGUGUAUGUGUGGUGUGUGUGUGGUAUGGUGAGUGUGGUGUGUGUAUGUGUGGUAUGUGUGGUGUGUGUGUACGUGUGUGUGUUUAUAGACAUCUAUCAUAUCCAUCACUGGGCUUAGGAGUAAGGAUACAUGCAUGAAUAAUAAUUAAUCUUCCCUCUCCCAGCUCCCACAAUCAAGUCAGAGGAAUAGUCAUAGAAAAAAGUCUCAGCACAAGAAAGACAAAGAAAACUACUCUGGAGUGGCACACGGAGAAAAUGGCUCGUUUAGCUUGGGCCUGCUUGGAGGCUUCACAGAAGAGGGUCCUUUGAGCAAGGCCUUGAAGGAUGAGUAGGAGUUUGCCAGGUGAAUGUGGCAACAGGAGGCAAUCCAGGCAAAUGGCACAGCUUAGAGAAAACUGAGACCGGUAAAAUAACUUGGCAUAUUGUUUUGGUUUGCAGAGCUAUGAGAAGUUACUCUGUAGGGCAAUGGUGGUAGGACAGUCUUGGGGCAGGGAGGCCUGUCUGAAAGACCUGAGGCCAAGGAAAGGAGUGUCAGUGAUUUCCAGGAGAUAUGUCCCCCCAGUUUCCAGGGAAAGAGGAGUCACUAAAAUGGGGAGCUGGACAUGUGAGAGAGGAGUCAUGCCACAGUCAGAGGAGUGAGAAUGUGGAGGAUAGGUCUUUACACAUGAGAAGCUUCUCAAAACGUCAUGUUUAAUGCUGAAACUUCAGAGGGAAUUUUACACUUUCCUUUGAUGAAUAUUUAUAGUAAACUAAUACUUACAAUGCUGUGAUCCUUUAAUACAGUUCCUCAGGUUGUGGUGACUCCCAACCAUGAAAUUACUUCAUAACUGUAAUUUUGCUACUGUUACGAAUCGUAAUGUAAAUACCUGUGUUUUCGGAUGGUUUUAGGCGGCCCCCGUGAAAAGGUCAUUUGACAACUGCCCCCAUAGGUUGCAACCCACAGGUCGAGAACUGUUGGCCUGAUAUAUUUGUUUGUUUGCUUAAGACAGGAUCUUGUUAUGUAACUAUGGCUGCUCUGAAACUCACUUUGUAAGCCAGUCUGGUCUCAAACUCUUGAUCCUCCUGCCUCAGCCUCCUGUGUGUUGGGAUUAGUAGUAUCACCAGCAGGCACUGGCUUAGUCUGCCUCUGUUAACCUCCCUCAGAACCCUUCUAGCCUGCCAGGAAACUCAGCUUUUGUCUUUGUCUUCCUUCCCCUAUGUUUUCUUGUUUCUACAACACCAGGCCCCGGAGGUUGGACCUCAGAUUCUCAACCUCUGGGUCACUCACAUGUGAAGACAGUAAAGGUAAAGGAUAGGAUUCUCAACCUCUGGGUCGCCCACAUGUGGAGAUGGUAAAGGUGAAGGGUGGGAUUCUCAACCUCUGGGUCGCUCACAUGUGAAGAUGGUAAAGGUGAGGAUGAGCUGCUGAAUGGGACAAGACUCUGAAAAGGAAUGACUGACUGAGUGAGUGGGCUCGGGGCCUGAAGAGCCACAGGCUGUGGAGAAAGCACAAAGCUAGCUGAGGAGCCAGACAAGCCAUAGGGAGAUCAAGGACUGUACAGGCGUUAUUUAUGUUGGGGUCACAGGAUCUAGGAGCAUGACUGCAUUUGUGAACUCUAAAAUGGCUUUCAUAGGAACCCUGUGAAAUCUUAAGGCCUUCUGCCUGCAGCCUCUGUGAAGCUCCGUGCAGCCCAGCUCUUCCUGUGCCCACGUACCAGGGGCACGAUCUGUAGAGGUGGCUAGGAGUCGAAGAGCAGGCAUGCAUACCAUCCACAAGAAACACAAAAAAGACAAGUCUUUCUAUGAUUGCUUGGCUAAUCUUGGCUUUCUAGAACUUAAUGGAUGUGCCUCUCCCCUCUCGUUCCCCAGUCGUCCCCGCCCCCUCCCCACCUGCCGUCACCCCAACUCAUCCAGUGACCAGGUCACAGGAAGUCAGCAUGGAAUUCAGCCUUCAGACACACAGCCUACAGAAGAACAUGGCCUGGGAAGGAGGACUCAGGAGGCUGAGAAGAGGGGGAGAGGUCCCAAGGCCAGCCUGGGCUACAUGUCCAAGUAAACGGAUUGUCUCAAUCCGAGGAACGGAGGACUCUGAACCCUGGCAACAGCAUAUGUGUAUCCUGCAAUGACAUCCGAGACCUGGUGACUUAUGAAGAGUAUUGUUCCUGACUCCCACAGUUCCUUGGCAUCUCUAAAAGCAGCAGCCAGUCUGUCAAACGGCGGGAGAUUGUUCCUGUCCACCCCCGUGAAGUAAUCAGGCACCCUGGGAUUGUCUCAAGCAAGCUGAUUGAUGGAGGAAGACUUAACCCACUAUGGACGGCACCAUGCCUUCGGCGGGGGUCCUGAAGUGUGUCAGCGUGGAAAAGCUGAACCGAGCACAGCAAACACACGAGUGGGUGUGCACAGAUUCCUUUCUGCUGCCCUGAUCAGGACGUACUAGCUGCUUUAGACCCGGCCACCUUGAUUUUCCUGCUGGGACUGUGAGGGAAAUAAGCACUCCCCUAUGUUGCUUUUUGUCAGGCUGUUUUGUCACAGCAACAGAAAGGAAGCUAGGACUUGUAGCUAGCCAGUUUACUCUGAAGCUCCCCUGUCUUUGCUUUCUGAAUCUUAGACAAACAGGCAGGCCUCUGUGCUCUCCCAGCAUUGGCGUAGGUUCUAGUGACCUGGAUUCUGGUCAUCCUGUAUAUACAGCAAACCCAGCAAACAUCUUAUUCCCUGAACCAUCUUCCCAGCCCCCCACCCCCAGUGUGUGUGUGUGUGUGUGCGCGCGCGCGCACGCGCGCGCGAGCACAAGCAUGUCCAUGUAUUAUGUAUGUGCAGGUUCCCAUGAAGACCAGAAGAGGGCAUCAUAUCUCCUAGAACUGUGCUUAGGUGGUUGUGAGCUGCCUGAUGUGGGUACUGGGAACUGAAUCUAGGUCCUCUGUAAGAUAAGAAUGAAGAAAACAUUCUUAACCAAUGAGCCAUCUCUUCAGCCCUAUAUUUCUAUUAUAUCCUAUCCACUCCUCUGACAGGGUAAGGCACAUUGCUUUGGGGUAGGUCCAAGGCCCUUCCUACUAUAUAUAGGCUGAGCAAGGUAUCCAUCUAAAAAGACUGGGUUCCAAAAAAGCCAAUACAAGCAGUAGGGAUAAAUCCUGGUGCCACUGCCAGUGGUCCCACAGUCUGCCCCAGCCACAAAACUGCCACCCACAUUCAGAGGGUCUAGUUUGGACCUAUGCUGGUUCCUUCCCUAUCCAGCAGAGUUGGUGAGCUCCCAUUAGCUCAGGUAAACUGUUUCAGUAGGUGUCCCCAACAUGGUCUUGACCUCUUUGUUCAUAUUCUCACUCCUCCCAUUCUUCAACUGGACUUUGGGAGCUCAGCCCAGUGCUCCACUGUGGGUCUCUGCCUCUGCUUCCAUCAGUUACUGGAUGAAGGUUCUAUGGUGACAUUUAAGAUAGUCAUCAAUCUGACUACAGGGCAAGGCCAGUUUGGGCACCCUCUCCUCUAUUGCUUAGGGCUUUAGCUGGGUCAUCCUUGUGGAUUUCUGGGGAUUUCUCUAGUGCUAGGUUUCUUGCUAGCCCCAUAAUGGCUUCCUCAAAUUAUCUCUUUCCUUUCUCUCAUCUGCCCUUCCUCCAACUCGACUAUUCUGUUCCCUCAAGUUCUCCUUCUCCCCUCUUCUUCCCCCUCUGCCCUUCCUUCUCCCCUCCCACCCCCAUGCUCCCAAUUUUGUUGGGUGAUAUAGAAAACUUAUUUGUAACAACAUCAGGAUUCAUUUUAAAAAAUAAAUGUUACACAAAAAUUAAAACAUAAAUCCAUGGCUUCCUCUUCAAGACAAAUAAAAUUUCUUUAAAGUGUUUGACAAUCAAAGCUCAGAGUCCUAUAGCAAUGAGGGAAACAAACAGACAAAAAUGACAGCCAAUCUUGUGGCCCUUGCUCUCCAAUAUUUUGGACCCCGUCUCUCUUUAGUCACAUGUGAUCUUCAUUAGAGAGGCCAUACAACCCUAGAUGCCACACUCUAGUCAACACGUGUCCUGCAGAAAAGCUCACCGUAUAGUGAUAUUUUAUUUGUGUUUUAAUAAAUAAAGCUUGCCUAAAGAUCUGAGUGCAAAGUUAGCACACUAGUCAGACACACAGGUCAGGCAGGGGUGGCACACACCUUUAAUCCCAGCAGCCACACUAGUUAGCCAUAGAAGCCAGGCAGUGGUGGUGCAUGCCUCUAAUCCCAGAACCAGAGAGGAAUAUAAGACAGGAGGAGACAGCAGCUCGGAGCUCAGUCUGCAGCCUGAGGUUUGGUGGAGAGCAUUGCAGUCUGCAGUCACGUUGAGUACAGGAUCACCCCUCUGUUUGUCUGAGGUAAGAGCUCUCUAGUGGCUUGGCUGCUUUGCUUUUCUGAUCUUCGGCUUGAACCCGACUAUUUGUCUCUGGGUUUUUAUUAUUCGUGCUACAUCACCAGAACUAGAUAACAGUUGUCAGGGGGAGAUGGGAUUGUGCCUAAGCAGGGGCAGAUCAAAGGGACAGACCGAAAGGCACAAGCAAGCUACAGAAGCAAAGGUUCUACACUUCCGUCCCACCCACCACAUCUUAAGGGGUUCCCUCUCCCUGGCUCCCAAGGGAAGAAGUGGGGGAGGUUCUAGCUUCAUCCCUUCCAGUCUGCUUGGAGUUUGCAUCCAAUCAGAUAGUACAAUAUGAUCAUAUUGAGGGAUGGUUCUACAAGAGAGAGGCCGUGUUCCCAGUGGAUGCAGUAUACCAAACUGUCCGCUUCCAUUCUGUGUGUAAGAAAAAGUGGUCUGAAGUAGGAGUAUAUGUUAGCCCUUGGUAUAACAAUUGAGAGACCCAUAAUUCUGAGAAAUAAAGGAAACAAUGGGGCAGGGAGUUCUUUCUUGUCCAGUUCCCCUCCCAGAUCCUGAAAAUAAGGAAGUUCAUGUUGGCAAGCAUGCGGAGAAAGGGGAACAGUUGAACAUUAUUGAAGUAUAAGUCACACACAAUUGUACAGAUUUUACAGAAAACCAAAAUUAAAAAUAAAACCACAUGUGACCUAGAAAACUCACUUUCCUGUAUCCAAAAGAGCUAAGCCGGCGUCUGGAAGAACUAUCCCCACUCCCGUGUUCAUUGCAGACUGGUCACAAUACCAACAAAAUAGAAGCAACUUGAGCGUCUCUCACCUGAGAAACCAAGUGUGCACACAU